rnacentral:rRNA from 1 species
AAAUUGAAGAGUUUGAUCAUGGCUCAGAUUGAACGCUGGCGGCAGGCCUAACACAUGCAAGUCGAACGGUAACAGGAAGCAGCUUUCUGCUUCGCUGACGAGUGGCGGACGGGUGAGUAAUGUCUGGGAAACUGCCUGAUGGAGGGGGAUAACUACUGGAAACGGUGGCUAAUACCGCAUAACGUCGCAAGACCAAAGAGGGGGACCUUCGGGCCUCUUGCCAUCAGAUGUGCCCAGAUGGGAUUAGCUUGUUGGUGAGGUAACGGCUCACCAAGGCGACGAUCCCUAGCUGGUCUGAGAGGAUGACCAGCCACACUGGAACUGAGACACGGUCCAGACUCCUACGGGAGGCAGCAGUGGGGAAUAUUGCACAAUGGGCGCAAGCCUGAUGCAGCCAUGCCGCGUGUAUGAAGAAGGCCUUCGGGUUGUAAAGUACUUUCAGCGGGGAGGAAGGUGUUGUGGUUAAUAACCGCAGCAAUUGACGUUACCC